UUUUUUNUUUUUUUUUGAUCUUCGUCGAAUAAUAAAUAGUAUUUUUUAGCUUUCUUAAGAGAGAAAUUGCUCUCUUCAGGGAAGAUUGUUGCAGAGAUUGAUGGAUGCCAAUAAACAUUGGUUCAACAACAAUAAACAAAACAAAACAUGAAAUAUGGCAUUACUCUAAAAAAAUAAUUAAUGAAACAAUAACUCUUAAACCUAGUGACUAGUGCAGUACAGCCAUUUCUGGCUCUUGUGCCAAUAAACUAACCAACCAUAUACUUUAUGCCACCGUAUUUUCCAAAAAGUGUACUACUUUUUUCAUCAAUACUUGAAUGUUCUGAAAACAGCAAACUUUUGUGUAGCUUCAUUCAACGGUUUAUAAAUUAGAUGAACUUUAUAAUAGCAAUCUAAUGAAGCAAUGGUAGUGUUGUUGAUGUGUAAAUUUAUUUAAAAGUCAACUCGGAGCUUUUGUUCUAUGAAACCCAAGAUUUAAUUGAGUUUUGUUGAUGAGCCACAUAUAUAACUGGGGAUUUUACCAUUGUCAUGUAUGCAUAAUCUUUUUCGGCAUCUUCACUAGUAAAACUAGUUUGUAUAUAGUAUUUUCUCUUCGGUUUUUAUUCAAGAAUUUUAUGUAAAGCUCAAAGUUACUUUUUGUAAGCAUUCAGUGCUUCUGCUGAAAAAUACAGAAAUUUUUAUAUGAAUAAAACUUUAGUAUAAAGCCAUUUACAUUAGUUAAUAUCUGGGUUAUUUAAAUUGAUGAAUUGCUUUAAUUUUUUUUUUUUUUUAAAUUUUAUCUUUCUUUCAUAGAAUAUCUACUAUAACUGGACAUAUGCCUCAUGAAGUGACUGGAUUUAAUGCUUACAAAUUUAUUCACACUGAAGAUACAUCUGUUACUUUAUUUGCUCAUCAUCUCAUGUUUUCUAGUGAUAAAGGUACUGGCAUGAUAGUAUAUCGUUUGCGCACAAGAGACGACAAAUAUGUAUACCUAAAAACUGUUGGCUGUUUACAGUAUGAUAGCUGUACAUCUCAAGUCGAUCAUUUUGUUUGUGUCAAUCAACAACUUGGGUUUGGGAAAUAUUGGGCUCACAGUAUGUCUUUGAAUUUUGUUUCGUUGACAAGCCAGACAGCAAAGAGUCCAUUCGAUUAUGUCUUUUAACAUUGAUGAACAGAUGAAGCUAUCUUGUAGGAGAUGCUUGGUGGCACGAAUACCUGGAGGUGACAUUGUGUAAUGAGCAGAAGAUUUUGAGUGAUAUGGAAGGCAAAUCACAGCUAAAAUAUUUCACUGAUCAGUAUAUUCCCCAUAUUAAAGGAAACUCUACUUCAUCUCUAUUUGAGUCAGUGAAAGCUCUUCAGAUGUCAAGUAGUAAAACUUCUCCUGCACAAAAUGGUAACAACAUGUCUACUCACAAAAAUACUAAAGUUGUAACAAAAGAGUUAGAUGUGAUCUCAUGCCAAGACAGUGGACACAGCAAUGCAAACACUAUCAUCAUAGAUGAUUCUAGACAGUCUGAAAUUUCAAGCUCAGAGUUCAUCCAGGGAGAUAGCUUAUUGGAUUCUUUUUCUUCUGAAGAGAAGAUGAAACAGGAGAAAAUAUCAAAGUAGAAUUACGGUGAUAUCAUAUUGUUGAAUGCCAGUGAGUCAAAAUGUAUUUUUAUCCAAAGAUGUAUGAAUUAUCCCUGUGCAAAUAUAUUGUUUUAAAUUAAAAUAUCCAUAUUUUCAGUUUCACUUCAUCAACUUUUUAUUUUAAUUGACAAUAUGUAUGAUGAACAACUUCUAAAAAUGUGUAAUCAGCUAAAUACAUAAUUUACAACAGAAGUUUUAUUCACAAAUAUUUAUCAUGAAGUCACUUAUAAAUAUAUAUAUAUAUUUGUUGCAUUGUUAUUUAUAUAUAUAAAUUUUUAAAAAUUUAUUUUUAUCAAAAAAUUCUUGUUCAAUGAGAAAAUGAUCUUCUUCAGAAAAUACAUAUAAGUUUAUAAACAAUAUUUAUCUGUGAUCACUGCCUUCAAUUCUUUAUAUCAGUAGGGUUACGUUUUAAGUUAUGUUCAUUUCUUAGCUUAAGGGGACUUCAACUUGCAGCUUGCAAGUCAAAACCUGCCCACAGUGGCAAGCUUGACAUACCAGGUAACUGGUCCAAAACAGUUUAUUUUAUAAUUUACUAAGUCAGUAAACCUUAUGAAAUAUUUAAGAGAAACACAAUAAUUGGUAAGGAAAUUUGUCAAAUGGCAAAUAUCUUAUUUGAUCUUUGGCAUAAAUAUUACAUGUUGCUUCAAAAAAUAUUUUUUACUUAUUUCAAAACAACAGCCUCGUAUAUUGACAUAGCUGGAUGUCUAAUAAGUCAAAAGGUUUACCAGGACAGAGGCAAAGGAGUAAAAAUGCAUUAGAAACUGCUUUAAUAGGUCGAGAGCACAGAAAAAUGAGCUUCUUUUUUUAAAUUUCUAAAAUUUUCGGACACCCGUUCUGUUAGUUGUAAACCUUAGGCUGAGAAUUUUGGAGACCCCUACCAUAAACCAAUGUGCUAAUCAAAUCGUAUCAUUCAAAUUGUUAUUUUCUUUCCAGUCUUUUCGUAUGAUGAGUUUCAAAAAGUGUUUUUUGUCAAUGUGUGUUACUAGAAAAAACUGACCAUUAACUUUUAUUUUUAAGGGAUUAAUUUUGUACUUAACUUUAAUUUAUUUAUUUCAAUCAUUUUUCAAGCAAUGGUUUGAAUUUAUGAUUUUUAAAAUCAUAUCCUCUCAUAAAACUUGAAUGUAUAUUCAAUAAUUAAAUUUAUGAUAAUUUGUCUUUGUAAACGACUUGCUGUACAUAUCAUUCCAACUUUCAUCUGAAUAAAUUUGUUACUAAAAUGUGUUCGAAAAUAACUAUGCCUUUUAUAAAUGGAGAUAAAUUAAUCACCUAAACUGUUAAAAAUAUAAUUAACUUUAUUUUCAUAAGAAAACUUAACUUUAGUUUUUCCUAUACAUGUAUGUUUUUUAAAUUUGGCUUAAAACAUUGCUUUCUCGUGAAUUUAUAGUGUUGGUGGUGCCGUGUCCCCGUCUGAUGAAAAUAUACCCACAGGCUGAAAACACACGGGAAUUAAUAGGUUUAUGUUCUUAAGAAUCAGUAACUACUUGUUAGACAAUCGUGCUACAAAAAAUUUUUUUGGUUUCAAAGCUCAUUUUUCUAAUUUAAUUUAUUUAAUAACUUUGUAAUUACUUUUCCAUACAAGUGUCCUUUUAACUUUACAGACUGGUCCUGAAUUUUUGAUUUAUUAAAUAUUUGUCAUGCCCAUCACAUAUCUGGUUUAUAAAUUUGGAUGCAAAUUCAUGAGAAAUUGCAAUUAUAAUAGCUACUUUUUUGCUAUUCAGUGUUAUUUUGUUUGUAAACUGUUUAUUUUGUAUAGCCAAGCUCAUUAGCUAAAUAUCUAGAUGAAAAACUAAUUUUUCUUAUGAUUUCCAUUGUUAAGAAACAUUGAAUUAUGUAUGAUUUUAUUUUUUAUUUUAUUUAUAAUCAUAUCAUUAAGUUCCAAAUAAUUUAAUUUUUACAAUUUUAUUAAAAAUAUAAGACGCUUUUACAAAAAAGAGUAUGUAUGCCUAAAAUUUGUCAAUGUUUACUCCAGAAAUUAUAUUUUAAUGCAUUUAUAUACCAAAUUAUGAUUACAGUUAAUUUUUACUAAAUAUUGUUAAGUUUUAAAUUUGGAGCAUGUUUUUAAAUUGUAACUCACGAUAACAAGUGUAGCUUACAUUCCAAUCUCAUUGCAUGCUGUAAAUGUUACAUAUUAUAAUUGACUUUUUUUAACGAGAAUGUCUUAUUUAUUUUUAGUAUAUAAUCGAGUUGUAGUGUUGUAUUUGAUUUAAGAGUAUUUAUUUGAAUAUACAGUAGAAGAUCUUUAAAAUGCAAACCUUAAAACCGAAGUCUUUAUGUUAUUUUGAAUUUUGCAUUAUGUAGAUCAUGGCACCUAUUACAUUCUUACCUAGUAUUGAUAGCAAUAUAAUUAUGGAAUAUUAAUGCUUUAAAUAUAUUUUUUAAAUUCAAAUACAAAGGAACAAAUAUAAGUAAAUUAAACAUUUAUUACUCACGAGAAAAAAAUUAUCAAGCUAACUAAUAAAUGUAUCAAUUUUACUUUGCUUUAGAUACGGUGACUUUUUAACAAAUAAUUUUUCCUGUAGCAUGUGAACAGUUUAAAGUUCUCGCUGAGCUACACAGCUCUUUUUAGGAAUUUCAAGUAUUUACCCCCCGAGAUAAACCCUAUUCAAUAUAGUUAGCUUCUCAAAUUCAUCAUCAUUUGAUUCUGUUUCUGUACUAUUUUCUCCUUUGUUUUAAACAAGAUUAACUAUUUCUGCAUCAGUUAAAUGCAUAAAAAUGUCAGGGUCAUUAUCAGCCUCUAAAAAUUCUAGAAUAUCUGCUUUAUAAACAAUUGUCAACCUCUUAUUAUUUUGCAGGCAUUUAAUUAAUUUUAAUAGUCUUGACUUUAGCUAAUGAUUACUUAAGUCCGGAAAAUUCCUUGUAAUCAAUUUCAAAAAACAGUGACUCUGGCCUAAAUUUUAUGCCAGACAUUUACAAUAGUUUCUUGGAUUGCGAAAUCCAGAAUUUGAACUUUUUCUUGAACUCUAAUAUCAGGACAGGAAUCAGAGCUCAAGAAAUUUCUCAGAAAGCCACUUUUAUAAUUACAUUUUAGAUUCUUUAUCUCACCCUGAUCCAUUGGCUGGAUCAGAGAUGUGGUAUUUGGUGAUAAAAAAAAAGUUUUUACAUUAGGAUUAAAAGGAUUAUUAGGACAUUAAAAGGACAUUAGGAUACAAAGAGAUCAGUGUGUGCAGUGCAGUUAUAGAGUUGCAAUAAAAUUUUGCUAUCUGCUGGUAAACCUAUCUUCUUGUGCUCAUAAACUUCUUUAUUGAGAUGGUUUUUCAAUGAAUCAUUCUAUACAAAGUUCUUUUGUUAUCUCUGUAAAUUACUGAAAGAAGCCCACUACCUAAAGUGCUUUUAAAGGAUGAGGAGUGGCGCUUCUUCCAAAAACGACUUUAUAACCGUGUGUACCUGUUACAUUGCUGCAAAUUACUACUGCAAGUCUGUGCUUGUCAUUUUUCACUCCUAAUGGUUCAGUUUCUUCUUUAGUUACAAAUGUCUUUCUCGGCAAAUUGCACCAAAGAGGUUUGAUUUAGCCAUAUUAUGAGUUCUGGAGAAAAAUUUUCCUCUUCUACUAACUUUUUAAAUUCUUCAAUGAAUUCAUCGGCUGCUACUUAAUCAGUAGACAUUUUAUUGCCAUUUACCUUUAAGUAGUGUAUUCCGUGUCGAUUUUUAAAUUUUGACAGCCAGCCAGUCAGUUGAAUAUUCACAUUUCACAAUAAUGUCACGUUUUUUAAGCUGCUCUUUCACUUUUUCACACAAUAUUGGGCCAGUAAUGGGUUAUGUUCUCUUGCAAAAUCAUUAAAAUGAAUUGUAUCUAAAACACGCUAUUGCGCUUCUUUAAUUUGUUUUCAAUUGUAAAUUCCUUUACUGCUAUAGUUUGUCUAAGACAAGAACUCCCCCAGACAUUCGUCUGGACUUGUGGCAGUGACCAUGGUAACGAGGUAUGACUAUUUCAAAAAGGGGUUCAGGGUGACUGUUUCGAAGUGAUUUCGGGUCGGCGAGAGAAAGGAAAUCCCUCUCUCUUCGGCUUAUUGUGUUUGUCCUAGAGGGAAGCUACCCUCCCUAAAAUGCUCCAUCCUUGUUACCAUAACACCAGGCGGCCUCAGACUUCGUGGCGGGAAGAAUUCUUAGCUUAGACAAACUAUAUCAAAUUUUUGCAAAAUAGUAAAGGUAACAUGUUUUUUAUUUUGUCCUUUAGAAGAACCAUUAUCUCUUUCCAUUUUUUAUAAGUUGAUCAGCAAAAUCAUGCUACCUUGUGAUCAAACGUAUAACAGAAUUCAAGUAAAAAUUUAUUUAUACUCUAGUUUCUCCCAAUAAAAAAUAAUUCAAUUUCAGAAGUGACUGAGAAAAUCAUCAUUCAUAUGAUGCGUGAUCUAUAAGUUUAGUUCUACAGCAGGCAAAAAUAAGAUUAUCUUGUCAAAAGUAAAUAAACAAAAUGCAAUGUGUUCAAAACAUGAAUCGUAGAAUUUAAGUGCGAUUUUUAUUGUUUACAUCCGCAAAGUUGAUGAGGUUUAUAAAAUUGACGUAUUUUGAUCUUCUGCUGUAUAUAUAAAUUUGAUAGACCUGAUAUAUUUAUUUAAAUAAUAUAUAUUACUAAUUUUGUCAAUUAAAAAGUUGGCAAGUUAUCAAAUAUUGAAUAAUUUCUGGGUAUUAAAUUUCAUAUUAUUAUAAACAAAAGAGAUGCUGAAAAAAUAUGCAAUUGAAGUUUUGUUUUUAUCAUAAUAUAUAUUUAAGAAGUUAUUUUAUAUUCUAUAAUGGAGUUUAAAUAGCAGCUAGUACACAGACUAACAAUAUUAUUAGUUUGUAUUGUUAUAAUACCAUGUAUUUUCAAUCUGAUUUUGUUUCACUCCACUUUUCCGUGCGACACUAUGUUCUAAAUGUCAGAAGCAAAAUCAGUAUUUUAAUCACGCUAACAUUCUUUUGGAAGAAAGAUAAUUAUAACGAUUUUUCUUGAUUGAAAAGUAAAUUUUCUGAUUUUUUUCAAGCAGAUUCAGUACAAUUAAUAGACUUUUCAAAUUCUAAAAGUAGUGAAAGCUCAAUAUAUUGAUGUUUGUAGCUUAGUUGUAAGAAGGUCAAAAUUCUUAUUUUCUUAUAAAAAAAAUUCAACUUUUAAGUUAAUUUAAAUUUAAAGCAAUUUAUUUUCAAUUUAAUUGAAAGCUUAUAAAUUUAAACCAAAAACUAAAUUUAUGUCAUUCGCAAUUUCAUUAUUGUUUGUUAUAUUUGAAAUAAUUUAUUUAAAUAAAAAAUACAACUAAGUAUUGUAAAAUGUAUUUUUUGACAUCUCUUAGUCUUAUGUCCUGUUUAAUUUUUUUUAAGUAUUUUAACAUUUUAGUUACCAAACUUAUAUAUUAUGAUUUUAAACUCUCAAAACAUUAUAUUUAUUGUUUUAUUUAAGAUGGCAUUUUAUUUUAUUGAUUUUGACAUUACUUUUCAUAUACUUUUGUUUUUAUUUUUUUCCCCCAACAUAAUUACUAUUGUUGAUUCAAAUCAUGAAUAUUUGCAAACACAAAAUAACCACUUUUAUAAUCUGAGGGAUCAAAUUGCAAUGUAUAUUUUGUAUGGUACAAAUAUUACUUGAUGAAAAUGUGUGCAUGAGUAUAAUCUAUUUUAUCUAUACAAAAUUAUUCUGAUGUUUCAUAUUUUGUCCUGAAAAAUAGUAAAUAAAUUUAUUAUUAAAUAAA